AUAGUAUUUCCUCCGUCCGAAAAUACUUGUCAUCAAAAUGAAUAAAAAGAUAUGCAUCUAGAACUAAAAUACAUCUAGAUACAUUCCUUUUUAUCCAUUUUGAUGACAAGUAUUUACGGACGGAUGGAGUAGUUU
rfam:Triticum urartu cultivar G1812 contig282943, whole genome shotgun sequence.